rnacentral:rRNA from 1 species
CAGCAGCCGCGGUAAAACGGAGGGUGCAAGCGUUAAUCGGAAUUACUGGGCGUAAAGCGCACGCAGGCGGUUUGUUAAGUCAGAUGUGAAAUCCCCGAGCUUAACUUGGGAACUGCAUUUGAAACUGGCAAGCUAGAGUCUUGUAGAGGGGGGUAGAAUUCCAGGUGUAGCGGUGAAAUGCGUAGAGAUCUGGAGGAAUACCGGUGGCGAAGGCGGCCCCCUGGACAAAGACUGACGCUCAGGUGCGAAAGCGUGGGGAGCAAACAGGAUUAGAUACCCCGGUAGUCCCUGUCUCUUAUAC